GUCCAGCUGACGAGUCCCGAAUAGGACGAAACGCGCGUCAAACUGGAU
rnacentral:hammerhead_ribozyme from 1 species